rnacentral:rRNA from 1 species
ACAGAGGGUGCAAGCGUUGUUCGGAAUUAUUGGGCGUAAAGGGAGUGUAGGCGGCUUGUUAAGUCUUCUGUGAAAUCUACGGGCUCAGCCUGUAACGUGCAGAGGAAACUGGCGAGCUUGAGUGUCGGAGAGGAUAGGGGAAUACCCGGUGUAGAGGUGAAAUUCGUAGAGAUCGGGUGGAACACCAGUGGCGAAGGCGCCUAUCUGGCUGACAACUGACGCUGAGACUCGAAAGCAUGGGGAGCAAACAGGA